rnacentral:hammerhead_ribozyme from 1 species
AUGCGAAACCCGCGAGCCCUCAACCGGGCUCGCGCGGUCGGCCGGGCGUGGUGGCGCGGUCCUGAUGAGCAGCCGGAG